GAUGAAGAACGCAGCGAAAUGCGAUACGUAAUAUGAAUUGCAAAUUCAGUGAAUCAUCGAGUCUUUGAACGCACAUUGCGCCCCCUGGUAUUCCGGGGGGCAUGCCUGUCCGAGCGUCAUUGCUGCCCUCAAGCACGGCUUGUGUGUUGGGCCCCGUCCUCCGAUCCCGGGGGACGGGCCCGAAAGGCAGCGGCGGCACCGCGUCCGGUCCUCGAGCGUAUGGGGCUUUGUCACCCGCUCUGUAGGCCCGGCCGGCGCUUGCCGAUCAACCCAAAUUUUUAUCCAGGUUGACCUCGGAUCAGGUAGGGAUACCCGCUGAACUUAAGCAUAUCAAUAAGCGGAGGA
rnacentral:misc_RNA from 1 species